GACGAACGCUGGCGGCGUGCUUAACACAUGCAAGUCGAACGGAAAGGCCCUGCUUUUGUGGGGUGCUCGAGUGGCGAACGGGUGAGUAACACGUGAGUAACCUGCCCUUGACUUUGGGAUAACUUCAGGAAACUGGGGCGAAUACCGGAUAGGAGCCCCUGCUGCAUGGGGGGGGUUGGAAAGUUUCGGCGGUUGGGGAUGGACUCGCGGCUUAUCAGCUUGUUGGUGGGGUAGUGGCUUACCAAGGCUUUGACGGGUAGCCGGCCUGAGAGGGUGACCGGCCACAUUGGGACUGAGAUACGGCCCAGAGUCCUACGGGAGGCAGGAGUGGGGAAUAUUGCACAAUGGGCGGAAGCCUGAUGCAGCAACGCCGCGUGCGGGAUGACGGCCUUCGGGUUGUAAACCGCUUUCGCCUGUGACGAAGCGUGAGUGACGGUAAUGGGUAAAGAAGCACCGGCUAACUACGU
rnacentral:rRNA from 1 species